GCAGAACCCCAGUUCAAGUCUGCCUCAGUUGCUAGCAGAAUCCGGGAGUGCCUGUUUCCUGGACCUCCCCCAGCAUAAAAGUCUCGUUACGCCCAGCUUUUUCCUUCCCUCUUUGUGCUUUAGACUUCUGCGCAGGGUGGGUGACGGAAGGGGCGUGCUUCCCUCCUGGCCAGCUUUGCCAGGAGCGGUGCUGAGGCUCCCAGCAGCAUCCUCUGGUCCUUUCACCUCUUCCCCACUGGAGAUGGGGCUUUCCUCAUCACCGGAAGAGGAACUGCUUCACAAGAUUUUCGGAGCCUCCCUGUAACACAACUGCCCCUCUGUUUCCCGCCCCUGUUCUGAUGGCAGUUCCCUGACAUUCUCUAAACGUAUGUUCUUCUUGUUCUCUUAUUCUAUAUGUUAAAUCUGAAAGCUGAGCAUAUUCCGUCAGCUUAAGUUGCCAUUCAUCUUUGGUUGGGACCUCACUCGUUUUCCAUUUUUGGGCUGACAAAACACGGGCCGCAGUAGUGGCAGACAUAAAUAACCUUUUUUGACACCUGGGAAUUUCUGUCUGAAUUAUCCCCAACAAAAAGGGCUCUGGUUUUGGGUUUUUUUGAAAAGAACCUUUAAACAUUUUUUUCAAUUCAUUAUAAAUUAUUUCCCAGUACUCUUUUACCCUUUUACAAGUCCACCAUAUGUGAUAGAACAUACCCUCAACCUCAAUUUCAAAAAGGACCUUCCUUCUGGACAAGAGUCCAAGUCUCCCUCCCUCCUUGUAGCCAAUGAGACCCAUCCUCUUCCUCCUGAUCCAAAUAGGAAUUAGCCAACUGUAUUGAUACACUCCACCCCAAUCUCUGAGUAAGUUUGCAGGGGUCCAGGCACCUACCCAGAGUUUGUGCUUCCUUUGGAAAUGAGGCCCAGCGGAGACUGUGGUGCCUUUAGGACAUAUGGUUUCUUUACACAUCUCUACAGCCUGAUCUUACAGUGGAGGGGCUCACAGCAUUCACACCCCAAUAGGUUCAUCCUUCUCCCCUGACCACAGCUGCCUUGGAUUCUAGCAAGGCCCCAGCCAUGGCUCUGAUCCUCUCCCUCCAGCUUGCCACUUACAGACUGAACCCUUUUCCACCACAGCAAACUGAAAUCCCAAAAGCUCAAAACUCUUUUGUCUCUGCCCCCUAGCUCAGAGCUCAGGGUGGGGGGUCUACCCAUUUGCAUCUGGCACAGAGUCCCCAUUUCCUUUGUGGCUUAUCGCCUUCCUUUGUGAGGCUCGGGGCUCAUAAUUAGCAGCCAGGAACUAUAACAAUAUAUUAAAGUAUAUUAAAAGCACAUCCCCCCAUUCUUCCUGCAUCUUGCCCCUCAACAGGCGGUAUGAGUCCAAUUUCAAGCGACAGCCCCCUCCUUCCCCUGCCCUGAUGCCUUUAUCUCCUCAUAGUGGGCGAUUGGUUAAUUGCUCUGUAAAGACCCAUCUAUUUUGUCAUAAUCAUGAUUUCACAGCCUUGGGAUGAUCUCCCCUGAGUUGCACUGUGGCAAGGCUGCCUAAAGAAAGUAUAUAAAUGUAUCAUUGUGCCUUAGAUUAUAGUGCCUAAUUAUAAGAAACCAAAUGCUGUGUCUUUCAUUGGGCCUUAUUAUUGCUGCGCUAGCAAAAACAUAUGCAUUUAGCUGAAUUUGCAGUUUGCAGGGAAGACAUCCAUCAUAGUCACAAGAUGGUAAUAGUCACCAGCUGUCCUGUGAAACAAGAUAUCCAAGUUGGGUGCUUUCCACAUAGGAUGGAUUUUUGCUUGCUUGCUGAUAACACAGUAUAUGAGAAAAUGUCUAACGUAAUGAGCUAUUGCAGAAAUAAAGAAGCGAUCUUUAUAAGGACAUAAGGAAGGGCGAUGUCUAAGCUUAUUGGCUUAAUUUUGCUCUAGUACAUGAAUAUGUAAUGCCUAAAGAUAGCCGGGAAAAAAGGUCUAUAAACCCAUGGAACUGUUGAUCGGGCUCCAGUCUUUGAGAGGAGACUCCACUGGGCCUAUUGCUGUCAGCAAUAAACUUACUUUCUAUUUCUCCAA